GUUCUGUAUCUAGCCAAGACAUAGCUAUUAGAAUAAGCUUCACAAGACUUCCUAGUUAAGCAAAUGAAUAACUUCCUUCUUUUAUUUUUAAGCUGUUAUGAGUCAGGAUUCUGCCAUCUGCAACAGAAAGAGUCCUAACUGAGACACAUGUAUUUUCUGGUCUGGCGAAAUUCUAAUCCGCAUAUGAGAUGCAGCUCAUAUGCUGCUACCACUCAGAAGCACCUGUAUUCAUCAGCCCAGCCAUGUUCAUUCCCUCAUUCAUAUCACAAACUCCUCAUGUCUUUAUCAUGACACUCAUUUGCUUAGUACAUAUGUGAUGAGCACUCACCAGGCCCCAGCAGUAUGGACUCCUGAAAUAAAUCUGAUGUUGUUAAGGAUCCCAGAGUCUAGCAGAGGAGAUAUACAGCAAAAAAGUCACAAAAAUCCUGAAGCCGUGAGAGAUCUGUCAAUAAAGGAGAAAAUAGGCUUCCGUGGAAGCAAAAGG
rnacentral:lncRNA from 1 species